rnacentral:rRNA from 1 species
CCUACGGGUGACAGCAGUGAGGAAUAUUGGUCAAUGGACGCAAGUCUGAACCAGCCAUGCCGCGUGCAGGAAGACGGCUCUAUGAGUUGUAAACUGCUUUUGUACGAGGGUAAACGCAGAUACGCGUAUCUGUCUGCAAGUAUCGUACGAAUAAGGAUCGGCUAACUCCGUGCCAGCAGCCGCGGUAAUACGGAGGAUUCAAGCGUUAUCCGGAUUUAUUGGGUUUAAAGGGUGCGUAGGCGGUGGGAUAAGUUAGGGGUGAAAUCCCGAGGCUCAACUUCGGAAUUGCCUCUGAUACUGAUCGGCUAGAGAGUAGGUGCGGUAGGCGGAAUGUAUGGUGUAGCGGUGAAAUGCUUAGAGAUCAUACAGAACACCGAUUGCGAAGGCAGCUUACCAAGCUACGUCUGACGUUGAGGCACGAAAGCGUGGGGAGCAAACAGGAUUAGAUACCCCAGUAGUC